UACGAAGGGGCUGAGCGUUGUUCGGAAUUACUGGGCGUAAAGCGCGCGCAGGCGGUCUUCCAAGUCAGUGGUGAAAGCCCGGAGCUCAACUCCGGAACUGCCAUUGAAACUGUGAGACUUGAGGAUGAGAGAGGUGAGUGGAAUUCCCAGUGUAGAGGUGAAAUUCGUAGAUAUUGGGAAGAACACCGGUGGCGAAGGCGGCUCUCUGGACCGUAACUGACGCUGAGGCGCGAAAGCGUGGGGAGCAAACAGG
rnacentral:rRNA from 1 species